rnacentral:snRNA from 1 species
UUAAUAUAUUAAUAUAUACCAUGAUCAUGAAGGUGGUUUUCCCAGGGUGAGGUUUAUCCAUUGCAAUCUAGAUGUGCUAACACCUGCAAUUUCCCCAAAUAUGGGGGAACUCAAUUACAUAAUUUGGGGGGGGGGGCUGCAUUCAUGCUCUCUCCUA